ensembl:snoRNA SNORD111B small nucleolar RNA, C/D box 111B
CAGCCUGAAGUGAUGAGUCACAUUCAUGUCUCUUCUCUGAUAAAUCUCUUGAAGAAAAUUGUGUAUCUGAUCAGGCUU